rnacentral:rRNA from 1 species
GACGAACGCUGGCGGCGUGCUUAACACAUGCAAGUCGAACGGAAAGGCCUGCUUUCCCUUGUGGAUUGCGGGUACUCGCGUGGCGAACGGGUGAGUAACACGUGAGUGAUCUGCCCCCAACUUGGGUAUAAGCCUGGGAAACUGGGUCUAAUUCCCGAUAGGACUGCAGGGUGGUGCCUGUGGUGGAAAACGAUUUUCUAGUGGUUGGGGAUGAGCUCGCGGCCUAUCAGCUUGUUGGUGGGGUAAUGGCCUACCAAGGCGGCGACGGGUAGCCGGCCUGAGAGGGUGGACGGCCACAUUGGGACUGAGAUACGGCCCAGACUCCUACGGGAGGCAGCAGUGGGGAAUAUGGCACAAUGGGCGGAAGCCUGAUGCAGCGACGCCGCGGGGGGGAUGACGGCCUUCGGGUUGUAAACUCCUUUCGACCGCGAGGAAGCCACCUGGUUGGAAGGGUGGUGACGGUAGUGGUAGAAGAAGCACCGGCUAACUACGUG